rnacentral:rRNA from 1 species
AGACUGGAUAGGAGACAAGAGGGCAUCUUCUUGUUUUUAAAAGACCUAGCAAUAGGUAUGCUUAGGGAGGAGCUUGCGUCACAUUAGUUAGUUGGUGGGGUAAAGGCCUACCAAGACUAUGAUGUGUAGCCGGGCUGAGAGGUUGAACGGCCACAUUGGGACUGAGACACGGCCCAAACUCCUACGGGAGGCAGCAGUAGGGAAUUUUCGGCAAUGGAGGAAACUCUGACCGAGCAACGCCGCGUGAACGAUGAAGUAUUUCGGUACGUAAAGUUCUUUUAUUAGGGAAGAAUAAAUGAUGGAAAAAUCAUUCUGACGGUACCUAAUGAAUAAGCCCCGGCUAACUAUGUGCCAGCAGCCGCGGUAAUACAUAGGGGGCAAGCGUUAUCCGGAAUUAUUGGGCGUAAAGGGUGCGUAGGCGGUUAAAUAAGUUUAUGGUCUAAGUGCAAUGCUCAACAUUGUGAUGCUAUAAAAACUGUUUAGCUAGAGUAAGAUAGAGGCAAGUGGAAUUCCAUGUGUAGUGGUAAAAUGCGUAAAUAUAUGGAGGAACACCAGUAGCGAAGGCGGCUUGCUGGGUCUUUACUGACGCUGAGGCACGAAAGCGUGGGGAGCAAACAGGAUUAGAUACCCUGGUAGUCCACGCCGUAAACGAUGAGUACUAAACGUUGGGUAAAACCAGUGUUGAAGUUAACACAUUAAGUACUCCGCCUGAGUAGUACGUACGCAAGUAUGAAACUUAAAGGAAUUGACGGGACUCCGCACAAGCGGUGGAUCAUGUUGUUUAAUUCGAAGGUACCCGAAAAACCUCACCAGGUCUUGACAUGCUUCUGCAAAGCUGUAGAAACACAGUGGAGGUUAUCAGUUGCACAGGUGGUGCAUGGUUGUCGUCAGCUCGUGUCGUGAGAUGUUGGGUUAAGUCCCGCAACGAGCGCAACCCUUAUUGUUAGUUACCAGCACGUAAUGGUGGGGACUUUAGCAAGACUGCCAGUGAUAAAUUGGAGGAAGGUGGGGACGACGUCAAAUCAUCAUGCCCCUUAUGACCUGGGCUACAAACGUGAUACAAUGGCUGUUACAAAGGGUAGCUGAAGCGCAAGUUUUUGGCGAAUCUCAAAAAAACAGUCUCAGUUCGGAUUGAAGUCUGCAACUCGACUUCAUGAAGUUGGAAUCGCUAGUAAUCGCGAAUCAGCAUGUCGCGGUGAAUACGUUCUCGGGGUUUGUAC